AGAAAAGAAGGAAAAGAACACACCGGGCAAUUGCUGAGGGACCACUAAAAUUGAACAGCAAGAGCAUCCGCUUGCCAUUACCCCACUUGGAUGAAAUUGGCACCUCAUUUUAAUGACAAUAGAGAGAAAGGGUGUGAAUGAGUUGGUCCAUGUCAGUGGAUGAAUAAAAAAAAUGAAAUAAGAAUCAAAUAGACUCUUGACUAGAGCCCAGAGCCAACGGCUCUCGUUGUCCCUUUGCUCAUCAGAACCCAGACUCCAUUCAAUUUUUCUUAGAAUCCACGCCGUCACCUAUCUCAAAACCCAAAAGUCUCUCUCGUCGUCAUUCAUCGCUCAACUUCCCCUUUGCAGAGAAAUAAAAAAUAAAUAAAAAAAUCGAAGUCUCUCUCUUGUGUGUUUCUCAAAACGCAAACCCUUCCCUUUCUCUGUUAGCCCAGUCACCUGCGCAGAUAUUCCUUUUCGCAAAUAUUUCUUCUGUGCACCAAUAGCGCUUCUUUAUCUUGCGCACACUCAAACCUGCUCUCAUAGGCAUUUCUCUCAUAAACCCACACUCCGCUCUCGUUCGCAGCUGUUUCAAAACUCAAACUUGGAGUUUUCUGUGCUGGAUUUGCUCGAAAUGGUAUUUGGAGUAACCAAGGAGCCGCUCCGUCCUUAACGAUGCACUUCAAACAUCAGAUCUGAGAGGCCAAAGAUUUACACCACACAUUGGUCUCUGCAAAAAUCUGAGGUCAGUCAUCCUAUAGAGGUAUAAACACGAUCCCCUGUAGAAUUUCUGACUUUCACCCUAUUGUGUGUUGUAAAUGAGUCAUAACUGAUGAAAAUUAUGUUUCUGAGCUUGGGUAAUGGUAAGCCUCGCGGUUUGCUUGUAAUCCAUCACUGUCAACUUCGUUUGAUGGAAGUAACAAUUUUGGCUUCAGUUCAGUUAGAACUGAAGAACCUCUUUGCCUUGUCUUGAGUGACUCAUCCACAUCUGUUUUCAUCUGCAUCAAUUUUAGAUUUGCAUCAACUUGGAAAUAAGACGUGGAGACUGCCGGAUGUCAGCGAGCAAGUCAAUCUUCAAGUUGCGAGCAGGUCCUCAGAAUAUAAAGACUGCAGAAAAGUCCCUUGCAAUGAAGGAACCCACAGUAAAUUUUGCUCCCUGCGUCUCCUCCUUAAAGAUUGCUCAGGUUCUGGAUCAAACGGAACCAACUGCUUAACUGCUGAACGCGUGCUGACCAUGCACAGAUUGUAAUCUGCACUGCCCUGCUGUGAUCUGUAAAAAUAAAAUAAAAACGG